rnacentral:tRNA from 1 species
GAAUUGAUGCCUGAGAGGUCUAUAGGGGUGGACUGUAAAUCCAUUAUAUAAAAACAUCGGUUCAAAUCCGGUUCAAUUCA